rnacentral:rRNA from 1 species
AUUGAACGCUGGCGGCAGGCCUAACACAUGCAAGUCGAGCGAGCGGCGGACGGGUGAGUAAUGUCUGGGAAACUGCCUGAUGGAGGGGGAUAACUACUGGAAACGGUAGCUAAUACCGCAUACCAUCAGAUGUGCCCAGAUGGGAUUAGCUAGUAGGUGGGGUAAUGGCUCACCUAGGCGACGAUCCCUAGCUGGUGUGAGAGGAUGACCAGCCACACGGGAACUGUGACGCGGUCCAGACUCCUACGCGCGGCAGGAGUGGGGAAUAUUGCACAAUGUGGGCAAGUCUGAUGCAGCCAUGCCUCGUGUGUGAAGAAGGCCUUCGGGUUGUAAAGCACUUUCAGCGGUGAUGCGUUCCCCGCAGUAGAAGCACCGGCUAACUCCGUGCCAGCAGCCGCGGUAAUAC